rnacentral:lncRNA from 1 species
ACACACUUCCAAAGAUAACACUGCCAACUCACUCCCAAACACUACACACAUUACUCCCUUCUACACACUACCAAACACUACACACACUCCCAAACACUACACACACUACUCACUCCUACACACUACCAAACACUACACACUACUCACUCCUACUCACUCCCAAACACUACUCACUCCUACACACUAUGGAGGUUGGUGUUUCUCUGUGGAUUUGGUGAGUGUGCGGUUUGUUGUGAGGCGUCUGAUUAUAAAUGAUUCGGUACAGAAAGUGUUAGGUAUUCACCAGCAGCUGCUGUCAGGUGUGCACUCGAACCACGACCUGCUGAUUACUGUGAUUCAUCCGAACCCUAUCUGUGUGUAAACAGCCCCUCAUCAUCACAGACCACACCCUCCAGAACCUCCACACUCAUCACACUCUCAUAAACACUUCAGCAGCGUUCCUGAGUACCUGCUCCUCUUCCUGCAGUUCACCUCCAGACAUACCGCCCCCUGUUUACCCGCCGGUACUGCAGAGCGUCAGCAGUGCUCGGGCUGGAGUCUCUGGCUUCUCGGCAGGUUCUGAGGGAGGCCUUCUCCCAGUCUGAACUGCUCACGGCAAAGGAAAAGCACCGCAGGACCCAGGAGCUCCUACAGCAGGUGGAGGAGGUUUGGCGUGAGGCCAGGUGGAUGGGAGAGGUUCUUCAGUGCGCUCGAGAUAAACAGCAGCCAGCAGGACCCAACUUCCUGCCCUCACCUGUCCCGUCGCCUGUCCCGUUGCCUGUCACGUCGCCUGUCACGUCACCUGUCACGUCGCCUGUCCCGUCUCCAUGCACCAGCAGGAAACAUUCAGAUGAAGGUUCCUUGGAGGUUUUCCUCACUCCUGACAGUAAUUAUGGCUCCAGUAGAGCACAGAGUCCACCAGAACUCGACCUCCUGCCCCCCGUUGCCCCCUCCCACACCGACCACACCCCGCCAGACCUCCUGCAGACUGGAACCGGGGUCAGGGGGGUGGGACUGCAGAUGAUUGACAGUGACUUCGUCCUGCCUAGUCGUCAGAUAGAUCUGUUACGGAUCACAGAGAAAAAAACCGCACUGUGCAUCCGGACCAGCAGUCUCGAGUACCCGUCUUCCGUCUCGACGGCAACUGCAUUCACAAGGCCCUCCCCACGUCCAGCAGCAGUGGACCGCUGUCGUCCCACCCUCGAGUCCCGCACCCUAUCAGAGGAUGGCGGGAUACAGCGAGUGACUGCCCACUCGCCAAACUCCACCCACCUGUCCUGCUAUACCACUCUCAGAGUGUAUCCGCAGUACCACACCGGCCUGCCCCGGGACACUAGUGUCCAGCUGCGGGCGACGAUACACACGACUGCACGGGAGAUGGUGCAGCUGGUGGUUCAGGAAAUAAGUGGAGUGUGUUCACGCCUGCAGGCCGCCGUCGGGCAGUGUGUGUACGGGGCGGGGCAGUGUGUGUAUGGGGCGGGGCACUGUGUGUAUGGGGCGGGGCACUGUGUGUAUGGGGCGGGACUGGGUGUGUACGGGGUGGAGCAGCUGGAGAACUUUGGGCUGGUUCUGGUGAUGGAUGGUCUGGAAAAGUGGCUUCAGGACGAUUUCUGCCCCCUGACCCUCCAGAACCCCUGGACCCACGGGACACUCUGUAUCCGCUUCAAACAGCAACCACCACUCCCCCUGCAGUUCAGCAUGGGUACUGCAGUCUAACACACACAUACACGCACACACACACUAUACUCACCAUACACACACAUACACAAACACACACUUACACAAACACUCACACACACAGUUACACAAACACACACUGACCUGUGCAGCCAAUUUGGUAAAGAGCAGCAGAUAAAAGAGAAGAGAAUAAACUGAUCAGAACCGACUCGGCCCUUCUGAUC